UAGGGAAUCUUCCGCAAUGGACGAAAGUCUGACGGAGCAACGCCGCGUGAGUGAAGAAGGCUUUCGGUUCGUAAAACUCUGUUGUUAGGGAAGAAAAAAUGUAUAGUAACUAUAUACAAAAGAGACGGUACCUAACCAGAAAGCCACGGCUAACUACGUGCCAGCAGCCGCGGUAAUACGUAGGUGGCAAGCGUUGUCCGGAAUUAUUGGGCGUAAAGCGCGCGCAGGUGGUUUAGAAAGUCUGAUGUGAAAGCCCACGGCUCAACCGUGGAGGGUCAUUGGAAACUAAUAAACGUGAGUGCAGGAGAGAAAAGUGGAAUUCCUAGUGUGGCGGUGAAAUGCGUAGUGAUUAGGAGGAACACCGGUGGCGAAAGCGGCUUUUUGGCCUGCAACUGACACUGAGGCACGAAAGCGUGGGGAGCAAACAGG
rnacentral:rRNA from 1 species